AUACGGAGGAUGCGAGCGUUAUCCGGAUUUACUGGGUGUAAAGGGAGCGUAGACGGCGAUGCAAGUCUGAAGUGAAAACCCGGGGCUCAACCCCGCGGACUGCUUUGGAAACUGUAUUGCUGGAGUGCAGGAGAGGUGAGUGGAAUUCCUAGUGUAGCGGUGAAAUGCGUAGAUAUUAGGAGGAACACCAGUGGCGAAGGCGGCUCACUGGGCUGUAACGAACGUGGAGGCUCGAAAGCGGGGGGAGCAACAGGGAUAAGAUCCCCUGGUCGUCCACGCCGUAAACGAUGAAUGCUAGGUGUCGGGGGGCAAAGCCCUUCGGUGCCGCCGCUAACGCAUUAAGCAUUCCACCUGGGGAGUACGUUCGCAAGAAUGAAACUCAAAGGAAUUGGCGGGG
rnacentral:rRNA from 1 species